GAUGAACGCUGGCGGCGUGCCUAAUACAUGCAGGUCGAGCGAACAGACGAGGAGCUCGCUCCUCUGACGUUAGCGGCGGACGGGUGAGUAACACGUGGAUAACCUACCUAUAAGACUGGGAUAACUUCGGGAAACCGGAGCUAAUACCGGAUAAUAUAUUGAACCGCAUGGUUCAAUAGUGAAAGACGGUUUUGCUGUCACUUAUAGAUGGAUCCGCGCCGCAUUAGCUAGUUGGUAAGGUAACGGCUUACCAAGGCAACGAUGCGUAGCCGACCUGAGAGGGUGAUCGGCCACACUGGAACUGAGACACGGUCCAGACUCCUACGGGAGGCAGCAGUAGGGAAUCUUCCGCAAUGGGCGAAAGCCUGACGGAGCAACGCCGCGUGAGUGAUGAAGGUCUUCGGAUCGUAAAACUCUGUUAUUAGGGAAGAACAAAUGUGUAAGUAACUAUGCACGUCUUGACGGUACCUAAUCAGAAAGCCACGGCUAACUACGUG
rnacentral:rRNA from 1 species